GUCGAGCGAGCUUGCCUAGAUGAAUUUGGUGCUUGCACCAAAUGAAACUAGAUACAAGCGAGCGGCGGACGGGUGAGUAACACGUGGGUAACCUGCCCAAGAGACUGGGAUAACACCUGGAAACAGAUGCUAAUACCGGAUAACAACACUAGACGCAUGUCUAGAGUUUAAAAGAUGGUUCUGCUAUCACUCUUGGAUGGACCUGCGGUGCAUUAGCUAGUUGGUAAGGUAACGGCUUACCAAGGCAAUGAUGCAUAGCCGAGUUGAGAGACUGAUCGGCCACAUUGGGACUGAGACACGGCCCAAACUCCUACGGGAGGCAGCAGUAGGGAAUCUUCCACAAUGGACGCAAGUCUGAUGGAGCAACGCCGCGUGAGUGAAGAAGGGUUUCGGCUCGUAAAGCUCUGUUGGUAGUGAAGAAAGAUAGAGGUAGUAACUGGCCUUUAUUUGACGGUAAUUACUUAGAAAGUCACGGCUAACUACGUGCCAGCAGCCGCGGUAAUACGUAGGUGGCAAGCGUUGUCCGGAUUUAUUGGGCGUAAAGCGAGUGCAGGCGGUUCAAUAAGUCUGAUGUGAAAGCCUUCGGCUCAACCGGAGAAUUGCAUCAGAAACUGUUGAACUUGAGUGCAGAAGAGGAGAGUGGAACUCCAUGUGUAGCGGUGGA
rnacentral:rRNA from 1 species